rnacentral:rRNA from 1 species
GAUGAACGCUGGCGGCGUGCCUAAUACAUGCGAGUCGAGCGAACAGACGAGGAGCUUGCUCCUCUGACGUUAGCGGCGGACGGGUGAGUAACACGUGGAUAACCUACCUAUAAGACUGGGAUAACUUCGGGAAACCGGAGCUAAUACCGGAUAAUAUAUUGAACCGCAUGGUUCAAUAGUGAAAGACGGUUUUGCUGUCACUUAUAGAUGGAUCCGUGCCGCAUUAGCUAGUUGGUAAGGUAACGGCUUACCAAGGCAACGAUGCGUAGCCGACCUGAGAGGGUGAUCGGCCACACUGGAACUGAGACACGGUCCAGACUCCUACGGGAGGCAGCAGUAGGGAAUCUUCCGCAAUGGGCGAAAGCCUGACGGAGCAACGCCGCGUGAGUGAUGAAGGUCUUCGGAUCGUAAAACUCUGUUAUUAGGGAAGAACAAAUGUGUAAGUAACUAUGCACGUCUUGACGGUACCUAAUCAGAAAGCCACGGCUAACUACGUG